UGCCGGCGACCGGCGGACGGGUGCGUAACGCGUAUGUAACCUACCUUUGACAGGGGGAUAACAUCGAGAAAUUGGUACUAAUACCCCAUAACAUCACCGGAGGCAUCUUCGGUGGUUGAAAACUCAGGUGGUCAGAGAUGGACAUGCGUUGUAUUAGCUAGUUGGUGAGGUAACGGCUCACCAAGGCGACGAUACAUAGGGGGACUGAGGGGUCAACCCCCCACAUUGGUACUGAGACACGGACCAAACUCCUACGGGAGGCAGCAG
rnacentral:rRNA from 1 species